rnacentral:rRNA from 1 species
GGACUACCGGGGUUUCUAAUCCUGUUUGCUACCCACGCUUUCGUGUCUCAGCGUCAGUUACGGUCCAGAGAGCCGUCUACACCACCGGUGUUCCUCCUGAUAUCUACGCAUUUCACCGCUACACCAGGAAUUCCACUCUCCUCUCCCGUACUCUAGUCCUUCAGUAUUCGGCGCACCCUCCCAGUUGAGCCGGGAGAUUUCACACCAAACUUAGAGAACCGCCUACACACCCUUUACGCCCAGUAACUCCGAACAACGCUUGCUGCCUACGUAUUACCGCGGCUGCUGGCAC